rnacentral:misc_RNA from 1 species
GACUUACACUAUCUGGGGCUAAGGGGGAGGUGGAUAUAAACCACCUAGUGUGACGACAGAUAAAAGUGAUUGGCUCUUGUGGAGCCAGAGCAAGAUAAGAUCUCCUAAACUGAUUAAACUUGCCGAAAGCGGCAUAUUCAAUCUAACUGCUGCUGUUCAAGGACCUGCAAAUUUGAAGAGGCUCCACAGGCAUACAAAAAUAUUGAUCAGGAGUGAUGUUAGAGGAAGC